rnacentral:rRNA from 1 species
GUACACAAAAAUGCACAUAUUGUGAGCUCGAUGAGUAGGGCGGGACACGUGGUAUCCUGUCUGAAUAUGGGGGGACCAUCCUCCAAGGCUAAAUACUCCUGACUGACCGAUAGUGAACCAGUACCGUGAGGGAAAGGCGAAAAGAACCCCGGCGAGGGGAGUGAAAAAGAACCUGAAACCGUGUACGUACAAGCAGUGGGAGCCUCUUAAUGGGGUGACUGCGUACCUUUUGUAUAAUGGGUCAGCGACUUAUAUUCUGUAGCAAGGUUAACCGAAUAGGGGAGCCGAAGGGAAACCGAGUCUUAACUGGGCGUUAAGUUGCAGGGUAUAGACCCGAAACCCGGUGAUCUAGCCAUGGGCAGGUUGAAGGUUGGGUAACACUAACUGGAGGACCGAACCGACUAAUGUUGAAAAAUUAGCGGAUGACUUGUGGCUGGGGGUGAAAGGCCAAUCAAACCGGGAGAUAGCUGGUUCUCCCCGAAAGCUAUUUAGGUAGCGCCUCGUGAAUUCAUCUCCGGGGGUAGAGCACUGUUUCGGCAAGGGGGUCAUCCCGACUUACCAACCCGAUGCAAACUGCGAAUACCGGAGAAUGUUAUCACGGGAGACACACGGCGGGUGCUAACGUCCGUCGUGAAGAGGGAAACAACCCAGACCGCCAGCUAAGGUCCCAAAGUCAUGGUUAAGUGGGAAACGAUGUGGGAAGGCCCAGACAGCCAGGAUGUUGGCUUAGAAGCAGCCAUCAUUUAAAGAAAGCGUAAUAGCUCACUGGUCGAGUCGGCCUGCGCGGAAGAUGUAACGGGGCUAAAC